rnacentral:rRNA from 1 species
GACGAACGCUGGCGGCGUGCUUAACACAUGCAAGUCGAGCGGUAAGGCCCUUUCGGGGGUACACGAGCGGCGAACGGGUGAGUAACACGUGGGUGACCUGCCCUCAGCUCUGGGAUAAGCCUGGGAAACCGGGUCUAAUACUGGAUAUGACUCCAUGACGCAUGUUGUGGGGUGGAAAGCCUUGUGCGGCUGAGGAUGGGCCCGCGGCCUAUCAGCUUGUUGGUGGGGUGANGGCCUACCAAGGCGACGACGGGUAGCCGGCCUGAGAGGGCGACCGGCCACACUGGGACUGAGACACGGCCCAGACUCCUACGGGAGGCAGCAGUGGGGGAAUCUUGCGCAAUGGGCGAAAGCCUGACGCAGCGACGCCGCGUGAGGGAUGACGGCCUGGU